UACGGAGGAUCCAAGCGUUAUCCGGAAUCAUUGGGUUUAAAGGGUCCGUAGGCGGGACAAUAAGUCAGCGGUGAAAGUCUGUGGCUCAACCAUAGAAUUGCCAUUGAUACUGUUGUUCUUGAGUGUUUAUGAAGUGGUUAGAAUAUGUAGUGUAGCGGUGAAAUGCUUAGAUAUUACAUGGAAUACCGAUUGCGAAGGCAGAUCACUAACAAUAUACUGACGCUGAUGGACGAAAGCGUAGGCAGCGAACAGG
rnacentral:misc_RNA from 1 species